ACAAAAAUAAAAACACGCAGCAACCCAAUAAAAACAACACGUACCGGCUCUGACAUAACAAGAACAACACGGACAGAGGCGUAGCUAACAGAUUUUUUUGAAGUGGACAGCUUUUCUGAACAGCUUGCCUGGCAAGUCGUUCGCAGUCAGACAGAGAACAAUAAAACUGCCCCAAGGCAGCUCCCGUACUGACUGGAUCAACACGAUGAAAGUGGCCUCAGCGCUCAAAAAAAUACGUUUGCUCUUGAUCCAGCUUGUGGGUCGCUCAAAAAAGAUGUGAAGGGUCAGGUCACCAAAAACAACAACAGACCUCCCGACAAACAAAAAAGAGCAUAGAGAUACACCUUGAAGGGGAGCCCAGGCUCCCCUUCGUGCUUUCUGGCGUUUGCCUGGCGCCGAUGUC
rnacentral:sRNA from 22 species